rnacentral:rRNA from 1 species
UACGUAGGGGGCAAGCGUUGUCCGGAUUUAUUGGGCGUAAAGAGCGUGUAGGCGGCCAUACAGGUCAGCUGUGAAAACUCGAGGCUCAACCUCGAGACGUCGGUUGAAACCGUAUGGCUAGAGUCCGGAAGAGGAGAGUGGAAUUCCCGGUGUAGCGGUGAAAUGCGCAGAUAUCGGGAAGAACACCCGUGGCGAAGGCGGUUCUCUGGGCCUUACCUGACGCUGAGGAGCGAAAGCGUGGGGAGCGAACAGG